rnacentral:rRNA from 1 species
AACGAACGCUGGCGGCAUGCCUAACACAUGCAAGUCGAACGAAGCCUUCGGGCUUAGUGGCGCACGGGUGCGUAACACGUGGGAAUCUGCCCUUCGGUUCGGAAUAACAGUUAGAAAUGACUGCUAAUACCGGAUGAUGACGUAAGUCCAAAGAUUUAUCGCCGAAGGAUGAGCCCGCGUAGGAUUAGGUAGUUGGUAGGGUAAUGGCCUACCAAGCCGACGAUCCUUAGCUGGUCUGAGAGGAUGAUCAGCCACACUGGGACUGAGACGCGGCCCAGACUCCUACGGGAGGCAGCAGUGGGGAAUAUUGGACAAUGGGCGAAAGCCUGAUCCAGCAAUGCCGCGUGAGUGAUGAAGGCCUA